CCUGCCCCUAGAAGUGUGGCAGGCUUGGCUGCUGUGUCACAUGGAUGUCAGUAGAGGCUAUGUCUAUGCUCAGUGUUCUGACCUAUGGACAUCAGAAGGAUUAGAAGCCUAACUCU
ensembl:snoRNA Gm22206 predicted gene, 22206